rnacentral:rRNA from 1 species
UAACGGCGAGUGAAGCGGCAACAGCUCAAAUUUGAAAUCUGGCCCCCAGGGCCCGAGUUGUAAUUUGCAGAGGAUGCUUCCGGCGAGGCCCCGACCGAGUCCCCUGGAAUGGGGCGCCGCAGAGGGUGAGAGCCCCGUCUGGUCGGACGCCGAACCGGUGUGAAGCUCCUUCGACGAGUCGAGUAGUUUGGGAAUGCUGCUCUAAACGGGAGGUAAAUUUCUUCUAAAGCUAAAUACCGGCCAGAGACCGAUAGCGCACAAGUAGAGUGAUCGAAAGAUGAAAAGCACUUUGAAAAGAGGGUCAAAAGUACGUGAAAUUGUUGAAAGGGAAGCGCCCGUGACCAGACUCGGGCCAGGCGGAUCAUCCGGCGUUCUCGCCGGUGCGCUCCGCCCGGCCCGGGCCAGCAUCGGUUCUCGCCGGGGGAUAAAGGCGCCGGGAACGUGGCUUGCCUCGGCAAGUGUUAUAGCCCGGCGCGCAAUGCCCCGGCGGGGACCGAGGACCGCGCUUCGGCAUGGAUGCUGGCGUAAUGGUCAUCGGCGACCCGUCUUGAAACACGGACCAAGGAGUCAAGCAUUAGGGCGAGUGUAUGGGUGUAAAACCCGCACGCGCAGUGAAAGCGAACGCUGGUGGGAGCCUCGGCGCACCACCGACCGAUCCUGAUGUUCUCGGAUGGAUUUGAGUAGGAGCCUUAACGCUUGGACCCGAAAGAUGGUGAACUAUGCCUGUAUAGGGUGAAGCCAGGGGAAACUCUGGUGGAGGCUCGCAGCGGUUCUGACGUGCAAAUCGAUCGUCAAAUAUGGGCAUAGGGGCGAAAGAC